GCACCUGUCGCUUAAUUGGUAAAGCUUCCGGCUUUUAACCGGAAUGAUGUAAGUUCAAAUCUUACCGGGUGUACCA
rnacentral:tRNA from 1 species